rfam:Methanolinea sp. SDB scaffold-8163, whole genome shotgun sequence.
CUGAAACGAUUGCAUGGGUGGACGUCCAAUAACGACGAGCCCGAUCCGUCCCCGCCGGGACGGACGCAUCAGAAUCAG